rnacentral:rRNA from 1 species
AUGUCCCGCCUCCACCUCCUCCGCCGCCGCUGCUCCACCUCCAUUUCCACCUCGCCGCCUUCACGCUCCUGGUCUCCCCGCGCUGCCUUUGCCGCUGCCACAGAGCGCGUCCGCGCCGGGACGCUCAGCCCGGAAGACGCACACCACCUGUUCGACCAAUUCCUGCGGCAGUCCACCCCAGUCCCCGAGCGCUCCCUGAAUGGAUUCCUUGCCGCCCUCGUCCGUACGCCGGCCUCAGAAUCCUGCAGAGACGGGCCCUCCCUCGCCCUCGCCCUCUUCAACCGUGUCUGCCGAGAAGAAGCCGGCCUGCGGGUGGCGCCGCCCACCAUCUUCACCUACAACAUCCUCAUGAACUGCUGUUGCCUGGCGCGUCGCCCGGACCUAGGACUUGCCUUUUUCGGCCGCCUCCUCAGGACUGGCCUGAAGACAAACCAGAGCUUCGCCAACACCCUCCUCAAGUGCCUCUGCUGCGCAAAACAGACAGACGAGGCUGUCAGCGUGCUGCUUCAUAGGAUGUCCGACCUCGGCUGUGUGCCUGAUGACUUCUCAUACAACACAGUUCUAAAGAGCUUGUGUGAAGAUAGCAGGAGCCGGCGAGCGCUCGACCUGCUCCAGAUGAUGGCGAAAGAAGGAGGUGUCUGCUCCCCUGAUGUGGUCACAUAUAACACAGUCAUCCAUGGCUUCUUUAAGGAAGGUGAAAUAGGCAAGGCCUGCAAUCUAUUCCAUGAAAUGAUGCAGCAAGGGGUUGUGCCUAAUGUGGUGACAUAUAACUCGAUUAUCGAUGCAUUGUGCAAGGCCCGAGCAAUGGACAAUGCAGAGUUGUUCCUUCGCAUGAUGGUUGAUAACGGUGUUCCACCAGAUAAGGUGACAUAUACUAGCAUGAUCCAUGGAUAUUCCACUUUGGGCGGAUGGAAAGAGGCAACUAAAAAGUUCAGAGAAAUGACAAGCAGGGGUCUUAUACCAGGUAUUAUCACUUGGAACUCGUUCAUGGACUCCCUCUGCAAGCAUGGAAGAAGCAAAGAAGCUGCAGAAAUUUUUCAUUCCAUGUCUGCAAAGGGCCACAAGCCUGAUAUCAUCUCCUACACCACUCUUCUUCAUGGGUAUGCCAAUGAAGGAAGCUUUCCUGAUAUGAUGAGUCUCUUUAAGUCAAUGGAAGGCAACGGUAUUGUAGCCAACUGCCAAGUUUUCAACAUAUUAAUUGAUGCAUAUGCUAAACGAGGAAUGAUGGACGAAGCUAUGCUCAUAUUUACCGAAAUGCUAGGACAAGGAGUCAAUCCGAGUGUAAUCACCUACUCAAUUGUGAUAGCUGCACUUUGCAGAAUGGGUAGGCUGGCCGAUGCUAUGGAUACGUUCAGUCAGAUGAUUUCUGUUGGAAUGAAACCGGACACAGUUGUUUAUCAUUCCCUAAUUCAGGGUUUCUCUACACAUGGCGAUUUGGUCAAAGCGAAAGAACUGAUAUAUGAAAUGAUGAACAACGGUAUUCCUCGUCCAAACAGUGUAUUCUUCAGUUCAAUAGUAAACAGUCUAUGCAAAGAGGGGAGGGUUGUGGAUGCACAUCAUAUCUUCGACUUGGUUAAAGACUUAGGUGAGAGACCUAACAUCAUUAUGUUUACUACGCUGAUUGACGGAUAUUGCUUAGUCGGUGAGAUGGACAAAGCAUUCAGAGUACUUGAUGCCAUGGUAUUAGCUGGCGUUGAGCCUGAUGUCGUUACAUAUAGUACACUUGUCAAUGGCUAUUGUAGUAAUGGAAGGAUCGAUGAUGGGUUGAUUCUGUUCAGAGAAAUGUUGCAUAAGAAAGUUAAACCUACAACUGUUACAUAUAACAUCAUACUGGAUCGAUUAUUUCGUGCCGGGAGAACAGUUGCUGCAAAGAAAAUGCUCCAUGAGAUGAUCGGAAGUGGAACACCUGUGAGCAUGCAUACAUACGGCAUAUUUCUUAGAGGACUUUGUAGGAAUGAUUGCACCGAUGAAGCAAUUGCCCUGUUUCAAAAAUUAGGUGCACUGAAUGUGAACUUCGAUAUUACAAUACUCAAUUCCAUGAUUAAUGCAAUGUACAGGGUUCAGAGAAGAGAAGAAGCUAACAAGUUGUUUGCUGCUAUAUCAACCAGUGGGUUGGUACCUAAUGCUUCCACUUAUGGAAUCAUGAUCAGAAAUCUUCUAAAAGAGGGAUCAGUGGAAGAAGCUGAAGACAUGUUUUCAUCAAUGGAGGAGAGUGACUGUGCUCUCAGCUCUCGUCUUAUAAAUGAUAUCAUUAGAACAUUAUUGGAAAAGGGGGAUAUAGUCAAGGCCGGAAAAUACAUGUCUAAAGUUGAUGAAACGAGCAUCUCACUUGAAGCUUCAACUAGUUCGUUGUUGUUGUCUCUCUUUUCCGGGAAAGGGAAAUGUCGGGAACAAAUAGAAUUGCUCCCUGCAAAGUACCAAAUUUUCGAUGGAAUCAGUUGA